rnacentral:rRNA from 2 species
UUAAGCGACUAAGCGUACACGGUGGAUGCCCUGGCAGUCAGAGGCGAUGAAGGACGUGCUAAUCUGCGAUAAGCGUCGGUAAGGUGAUAUGAACCGUUAUAACCGGCGAUUUCCGAAUGGGGAAACCCAGUGUGUUUCGACACACUAUCAUUAACUGAAUCCAUAGGUUAAUGAGGCGAACCGGGGGAACUGAAACAUCUAAGUACCCCGAGGAAAAGAAAUCAACCGAGAUUCCCCCAGUAGCGGCGAGCGAACGGGGAGGAGCCCAGAGCCUGAAUCAGUGUGUGUGUUAGUGGAAGCGUCUGGAAAGGCGCGCGAUACAGGGUGACAGCCCCGUACACAAAAAUGCACAUAUUGUGAGCUCGAUGAGUAGGGCGGGACACGUGGUAUCCUGUCUGAAUAUGGGGGGACCAUCCUCCAAGGCUAAAUACUCCUGACUGACCGAUAGUGAACCAGUACCGUGAGGGAAAGGCGAAAAGAACCCCGGCGAGGGGAGUGAAAAAGAACCUGAAACCGUGUACGUACAAGCAGUGGGAGCCUCUUAAUGGGGUGACUGCGUACCUUUUGUAUAAUGGGUCAGCGACUUAUAUUCUGUAGCAAGGUUAACCGAAUAGGGGAGCCGAAGGGAAACCGAGUCUUAACUGGGCGUUAAGUUGCAGGGUAUAGACCCGAAACCCGGUGAUCUAGCCAUGGGCAGGUUGAAGGUUGGGUAACACUAACUGGAGGACCGAACCGACUAAUGUUGAAAAAUUAGCGGAUGACUUGUGGCUGGGGGUGAAAGGCCAAUCAAACCGGGAGAUAGCUGGUUCUCCCCGAAAGCUAUUUAGGUAGCGCCUCGUGAAUUCAUCUCCGGGGGUAGAGCACUGUUUCGGCAAGGGGGUCAUCCCGACUUACCAACCCGAUGCAAACUGCGAAUACCGGAGAAUGUUAUCACGGGAGACACACGGCGGGUGCUAACGUCCGUCGUGAAGAGGGAAACAACCCAGACCGCCAGCUAAGGUCCCAAAGUCAUGGUUAAGUGGGAAACGAUGUGGGAAGGCCCAGACAGCCAGGAUGUUGGCUUAGAAGCAGCCAUCAUUUAAAGAAAGCGUAAUAGCUCACUGGUCGAGUCGGCCUGCGCGGAAGAUGUAACGGGGCUAAACCAUGCACCGAAGCUGCGGCAGCGACACUAUGUGUUGUUGGGUAGGGGAGCGUUCUGUAAGCCUGUGAAGGUAGCCUGUGAGGGUUGCUGGAGGUAUCAGAAGUGCGAAUGCUGACAUAAGUAACGAUAAAGCGGGUGAAAAGCCCGCUCGCCGGAAGACCAAGGGUUCCUGUCCAACGUUAAUCGGGGCAGGGUGAGUCGACCCCUAAGGCGAGGCCGAAAGGCGUAGUCGAUGGGAAACAGGUUAAUAUUCCUGUACUUGGUGUUACUGCGAAGGGGGGACGGAGAAGGCUAUGUUGGCCGGGCGACGGUUGUCCCGGUUUAAGCGUGUAGGCUGGUUUUCCAGGCAAAUCCGGAAAAUCAAGGCUGAGGCGUGAUGACGAGGCACUACGGUGCUGAAGUGACAAAUGCCCUGCUUCCAGGAAAAGCCUCUAAGCAUCAGGUAACAUCAAAUCGUACCCCAAACCGACACAGGUGGUCAGGUAGAGAAUACCAAGGCGCUUGAGAGAACUCGGGUGAAGGAACUAGGCAAAAUGGUGCCGUAACUUCGGGAGAAGGCACGCUGAUAUGUAGGUGAAGCGACUUGCUCGUGGAGCUGAAAUCAGUCGAAGAUACCAGCUGGCUGCAACUGUUUAUUAAAAACACAGCACUGUGCAAACACGAAAGUGGACGUAUACGGUGUGACGCCUGCCCGGUGCCGGAAGGUUAAUUGAUGGGGUUAGCGGUAACGCGAAGCUCUUGAUCGAAGCCCCGGUAAACGGCGGCCGUAACUAUAACGGUCCUAAGGUAGCGAAAUUCCUUGUCGGGUAAGUUCCGACCUGCACGAAUGGCGUAAUGAUGGCCAGGCUGUCUCCACCCGAGACUCAGUGAAAUUGAACUCGCUGUGAAGAUGCAGUGUACCCGCGGCAAGACGGAAAGACCCCGUGAACCUUUACUAUAGCUUGACACUGAACAUUGAGCCUUGAUGUGUAGGAUAGGUGGGAGGCUUUGAAGUGUGGACGCCAGUCUGCAUGGAGCCGACCUUGAAAUACCACCCUUUAAUGUUUGAUGUUCUAACGUUGGCCCGUAAUCCGGGUUGCGGACAGUGUCUGGUGGGUAGUUUGACUGGGGCGGUCUCCUCCUAAAGAGUAACGGAGGAGCACGAAGGUUGGCUAAUCCUGGUCGGACAUCAGGAGGUUAGUGCAAUGGCAUAAGCCAGCUUGACUGCGAGCGUGACGGCGCGAGCAGGUGCGAAAGCAGGUCAUAGUGAUCCGGUGGUUCUGAAUGGAAGGGCCAUCGCUCAACGGAUAAAAGGUACUCCGGGGAUAACAGGCUGAUACCGCCCAAGAGUUCAUAUCGACGGCGGUGUUUGGCACCUCGAUGUCGGCUCAUCACAUCCUGGGGCUGAAGUAGGUCCCAAGGGUAUGGCUGUUCGCCAUUUAAAGUGGUACGCGAGCUGGGUUUAGAACGUCGUGAGACAGUUCGGUCCCUAUCUGCCGUGGGCGCUGGAGAACUGAGGGGGGCUGCUCCUAGUACGAGAGGACCGGAGUGGACGCAUCACUGGUGUUCGGGUUGUCAUGCCAAUGGCACUGCCCGGUAGCUAAAUGCGGAAGAGAUAAGUGCUGAAAGCAUCUAAGCACGAAACUUGCCCCGAGAUGAGUUCUCCCUGACUCCUUGAGAGUCCUGAAGGAACGUUGAAGACGACGACGUUGAUAGGCCGGGUGUGUAAGCGCAGCGAUGCGUUGAGCUAACCGGUACUAAUGAACCGUGAGGCUUAACCUU